AUUGAACGCUGGCGGCAUGCCUUACACAUGCAAGUCGAACGGCAGCACGGGAGCAAUCCUGGUGGCGAGUGGCGAACGGGUGAGUAAUAUAUCGGAACGUGCCCAGUCGUGGGGAUAACGUAGCGAAAGCUACGCUAAUACCGCAUACGAUCUAUGGAUGAAAGCGGGGGAUCGCAAGACCUCGCGCGAUUGGAGCGGCCGAUAUCUGAUUAGCUAGUUGGUGGGGUAAAGGCCUACCAAGGCAUCGAUCAGUAGCUGGUCUGAGAGGACGACCAGCCACACUGGAACUGAGACACGGUCCAGACUCCUACGGGAGGCAGCAGUGGGGAAUUUUGGACAAUGGGGGCAACCCUGAUCCAGCAAUGCCGCGUGAGUGAAGAAGGCC
rnacentral:rRNA from 1 species